GAUGAAGAACGUAGCGAAAUGCGAUAAGUAAUGUGAAUUGCAGAAUUCAGUGAAUCAUCGAAUCUUUGAACGCACAUUGCGCCCGCCAGUAUUCUGGCGGGCAUGCCUGUUCGAGCGUCAUUACAACCCUCAGGCCCCCGGGCCUGGCGUUGGGGAUCGUCGGAAGCCCCCUGCGGGCACAACGCCGUCCCCCAAAUACAGUGGCGGUCCCGCCGCAGCUUCCAUUGCGUAGUAGCUAACACCUCGCAACUGGAGAGCGGCGCGGCCACGCCGUAAAACACCCAACUUCUGAAUGUUGACCUCGAAUCAGGUAGGAAUACCCGCUGAACUUAAGCAUAUCAAUAAGCGGAGGA
rnacentral:misc_RNA from 1 species